CAGCCGCCGCGGUAAUACGUAGGGUGCGAGCGUUAAUCGGAUUUACUGGGCGUAAAGCGUGCGCAGGCGGCCCGUUAAGACAGGUGUGAAAUCCCUGGGCUCAACCUAGGAAUUGCGCUUGUGACUGGCGGGCUCGAGUACGGUAGAGGGGGGUGGAAUUCCUGGUGUAGCAGUGAAAUGCGAAGAGAUCAGGAGGAACACCGAUGGCGAAGGCAGCCCCCUGGGCCUGUACUGACGCUCAUGCACGAAAGCGUGGGGAGCAAACAGGAUUAGAUACCCGGGUAGUCCACGCCCUAAACGAUGGGUACUAGCCGUUUGGUGCGCGAUAGCGCUGAGUGGCGAAGCUAACGCGUGAAGUACCCCGCCUGGGGAGUACGGCCGCAAGGUUGAAACUUAAAGGAAUUGGCGGG
rnacentral:rRNA from 1 species